UACAGAGGUCUCAAGCGUUGUUCGGAUUCAUUGGGCGUAAAGGGUGCGUAGGUGGCGCCGUAAGUCAGGUGUGAAAUUUCGGAGCUUAACUCCGAAACUGCAUUUGAUACUGCGGUGCUUGAGGACUGGAGAGGAGACUGGAAUUCACGGUGUAGCAGUGAAAUGCGUAGAUAUCAGGAGGAACACCGGCGGCGAAGGCGGCUUCCUGGCCCAAUACUGACGUUCAGGUACGAAAGCGUGGGUAGCAAACAGG
rnacentral:rRNA from 1 species